rnacentral:rRNA from 1 species
CCCUUAGAUGUUCUGGGCCGCACGCGCGCUACACUGACGAAUGCAACGAGCUUAUAACCUUGGCCGAAAGGUCUGGGUAAUCUCCAAAUUUCGUCGUGAUGGGGAUAGAUUAUUGCAAUUAUUAAUCUUCAACGAGGAAUGCCUAGUAAGCGCAAGUCAUCAGCUUGCGUUGAUUACGUCCCUGCCCUUUGUACACACCACCCGUCGCUCCUACCGAUUGAAUGGUCCGGUGAAGCGCUCGGACCGCGGCCUCUUGACGGUUCGCUGUCGAUUGGCUGUGGGAAGUUCGUUAAACCUUAUCAUUUAGAGGAAGGAGAAGUCGUAACA